rnacentral:rRNA from 1 species
UGGGGAAUUUUGGACAAUGGGCGCAAGCCUGAUCCAGCCAUGCCGCGUGAGUGAAGAAGGCCUUCGGGUUGUAAAGCUCUUUCGGCUGGGAAGAAAUCGCACUCUCUAAUACAGGGUGUGGAUGACGGUACCAGCAUAAGGAGCACCGGCUAACUACGUGCCAGCAGCCGCGGUAAUACGUAGGGUGCGAGCGUUAUUCGGAAUUACUGGGCGUAAAGCGUGCGCAGGCGGUUGUGUAAGACAGACGUGAAAUCCCCGGGCUCAACCUGGGAACUGCGUUUGUGACUGCACGGCUAGAGUACGGCAGAGGGGGUGGAAUUCCACGUGUAGGCAGUGAAAUGCGUAGAGAUGUGGAGGAACACCGAUGGCGAAGGCAGCCCCCUGGGCCAGUACUGACGCUCCAUGGCCACGAAAGCGUGGGGAGCAAACAGGAUUAGAUACCCUGGUAGGUCCAACGCCCUAAACGAUCGUCAACUAGCUGUUGGUGGGGUUAAACCCCAAUUAGUAGCGUNUGGCUAACGCGUGAAGUUGACCGCCUGGGGGAGUACGG